CGCCAGUUACCAGUACAUUGAGCGACCCCUCGAUAAAGAUGAAAUAUGAAUUUCUCACGCAACACUGCCUCAAUUUUCUUAAUGUUUAUUUGCAUAUCCUAACAACCAAAGUCCGUAACAGCUAGGAAAGAAAACAUUGUUUCGUUUGCCGCAAGAAACAAAUGCGAGUUCGGAAAAGGGAAGCUUUUGUUGGAUUUGGAUAAAAUUUGAUUUUUUAGAAACAUUUUGGUCCCCGUACGCGAAAACGGCGAAAACCAAAAAAGAUAUUUUCCUUAGUUAAUAAUAAAAUAAUCCGUUUGCUUUUUUAUCACCUUCCCUGUGAUUCACCUGUGGGCUGUGAUUAAACUGUUCAAAGGACCAGCAGAUACAUUUAGGGGCGGAAAGAACGAGCAACUUUUCCUGUUUACUUUUUCGCUCUUAUCGCUAACACGCUGAGAGCCAGACUUUCAACAUAUUCAUCUCGAAAAUUGCCUAAAAUAUGGCAGGGGAUGUGGGAGUAUCGUACUCCAAAUGUACCAUGCUUCAUUGCACCAGUGAACCCAAAGGCAUGAAAUUUGUUGAACAAAUUCCAGGAAACCGGAGAAAAUGCAUCAUGCGAUCAAUUUAACACCCAGCGUCACCUGUUCUGAAACUCCAAAACACGACGAUUAAAGGUUUCCGUUUUUCCAGAGAAUUUGGGUUUUCCGGAGACUUACCCUUAAAGAAGCAUCCAGCAUAGAAGAACGCGUUGUGACGUUCCUACUGCCCGUGGAAGACGCUUUAACAUAUACAGGAUUACUGAUGCCAGUGUAUUACACCAGUCCACCAGCACUAAUAGUCGACAAAGACACCGUGCGAAUCAAAAUAAAUUGGCUUAGGAACCCCUACUCAAAACCUUCAAUGACUGUUUCGUACAAAAUGAACACAUCAUACGAAUAUUUUCGAAUAAAAAUCAACAAUGGAAAAUGUGGGACACCUGGUCAUACAGGAUAAGCUCGUUUAAUCUGGGACUGUCCCGUCUAAUCCGGGGCGUCCGGCCGCUUUAUGGUACAAAUAUACCUUAAUGUUGAAACUACCCGG